ACAGACUGAAAAUGAGCCCAGGUGUAUCAGUGAUCUGGGGUCAGAUAACUGUGCCUAUAGUGGUCUGGUGCAUAAAGCUUACUGCGUGUGUCUCUUGGUGGCUGCGUGAUAAAACCCAUGUACCAACAUGA
rnacentral:snoRNA from 1 species